rnacentral:rRNA from 1 species
GGAAAGUUGAAAAGAACUUUGAAGAGAGAGUUCAAGAGUACGUGAAACCGUCCAGGGGUAAACCUGAGAAACCCGAAAGGUCGAAAGGGGAGAUUCAACGCGUCUCGAAGUUCGCGAGCGGCGCGCGCCGUUGACGAGCGGCCGUUCGCGUCCAGCUCGCUCAGCGCGCCGACCGAUCGGACAUCGAACGCGUGCACUUCUCCUCCUGUAGGACGUCGUGACCCGUUGGGCGUCGGCCUAAGGUCCGCGGUGGAGCCCGGACGCCUUUGGCGCGUCCGGACCCGCGGUGUCCCGGCCGGCACGACCGACGGUAUAACUACGGCGCGGGGCCGCGACUCGUUCGCGUCCGGCGCGUCGC